AAUCUGCGAUGUGGAUCAGAAGUAAUUGUCUCAAAUCGUAAAGCAAAACAAACGCCAAAAUCCCCAGUUUGAACCUAUAAACAAGACACAGCCUAUCAGAGCUGCUUAAUUUGUAAUUACAACACAUUUCAGUUGUUUAGGUUUGAUCCCAAUCUGUCCAAACUGUGGUGUCAUCACCAAAAAAAAAAAAUGGGCCUUCUGUUUUGUAAUGGGAAAUUUGGCUUCUGUUAUUUGGAUAGUGCUGUGACGUGGACACUGUGCAGUUGCAUUAACAAGAAACUCCUGUCACGAGAGGCUCUGAAGAGAGGGAGACAGACAGAUCAAGAGGGAAAGAGCACCAGAAAGACUUUUUGUGUGUGUGUGUGACAUCCAAAAGGUCUGAUGAUCCCCCUUUCCUCUUUAUUGUCUUGUGCAAUGUCUGUUUUCAACUCUUUUUUUUCUGUCAUUCAUUAAGGCUUGGAAAGCAAAUGGCUCCGCAUGGACAGCAAUCAAACAUCAUUUGAUUUUGUUUAGUUUUAUUGUACCAAUAUCUUCCAGGAAAUAGCUGGUCAGAUGAGUUGACGUUAAUCAAAUGAAUCAUUCUGCAGACUCUAGUAGCUGAAGGAUUAUCAUUAAACCAUGAGUGGUAUGUUGGUUCAUAAAAAGGUUUUCUGUUUAAGAUGGUCUCAGGCAACUCAUCUAUGAAAUAGACUGGCUUAAAAAGUAGGCAAAACCUCUCCUAAACCAGGCCUCUAGACAGACUAGCAAACUAGUCUUCUCAGUAUCAGCCUUAUUUGAGCUUGGUCCAUUUGAUGUACAACUUUAUUAUAGUACUUAUGGUGAUGUAAUCCAAGACCUUUGGAGAAAUGAUGCUAAGGUAUCCAUAAUCCUGGACCAGGCCAUAUCCUGAGCAGAUGCUGUGGCAGUCACGUAGGAGCGGAGAGCAUGAGACUUAUUCCUGAAAGACUCAGCGACAGACAAGUUUUCGCAUUGAUUCUGUGGGCCAGCCUGAACACCCGCCGGUGACCUGCUCACACCUGCAGCUUCUCCACGAUGGACGUCCAGCGUUCUCUAGCCUUUGGAACCCAGAAUGCAGCUCUACACAAGAAGUUUGGCCAGAGGAGAAAUGGUCGUGCCCAAUUGAGCUUGGUUCUCUCAAGGUUUUUUUCCUUUACUUUCGUCAAUUGGUGAAGUUUUGUUUCUCGCCACUGUCACUACUGGCUUGCCUUGUUUGGGAUCUUUUGGAGCUGCACAUCGGUGGAUUUGCUCUUCAGUGUUUGGUGAAAAUAAAACCACACUGACCUGAACUAAACUCAACUUCGACUCUGAAAACUGGACUGACACAGUUUUAAUUUACUAGAACUUCUAUGUUAAGCUGCGUUGACACAAGCUACAUUGACAUAAUUAAACAUAAAUUGAAUUUAAUUGAAUAUUAGCAACAGGAAUCAAGUGUGAAGGCUAUUGUUAAAAGUUUACAAGCACACACAAACAUCAGAGCAAAAAUUAUAAAAAAUACAAUUCAACAUGGUCAAACUUUAAUCGUCUGCAGGUACUAAAGAUUCAAACACUCAAAACUGCUUCCAUGCACAAAGCCCAUAUAGAUAAACUAGCAUAUUUCUUUUUUGCUUUCUUAGUCCUCCAUGACCAAAUGAAGCUUGCAACUGUGGAAUUUUGCAGUUGUUGAAAGGUUUAAGGAGCUGUCAAAUUAGUACCCAUCAAACCUGCUGAAAAAAAUUACCUAGAAGCUCUAAUUGUUUCCAAUACCAUUAUAAAAAUAACAAACCAUUCUACUGUGUUUUAGGACAUAUUCUAUUAUUAAGUAGUUUAUCAUACCAGCAUUAGAAGGCAACAAAUUACCAAUCGAGACCAGCAAGGACCAUAACAGUUUCUUUAAAACCAAUGCAAUUCCCAUUAUAACUAUUAAAACCAUUACUAAACUUAUAAGGAUUUAUACUGUUUUAUGCAGCAGGAAACCACUGGUCAAACAGAGCAUCCCACCCUAAACCAACAACAAUUGGUUUAAGCAGGGGCGUAGCAACUGGGGGGAACGGGGGUAUAUGUUCCUUUCAUUUUUUAGAGACAGACCAGGUGAUUAAUAAUUAUAUGCAUGUAAACUUAAUGAUCUCAUACAGCUGUCCCCCCACACUUUUAAAAUGUCUGCUAGGCCCCUGGGUUUAACUAUUGUUACUGGCUGUGAUGAUCAAAAACUUUUUUGCAGAAAUCAACCUGCACUAACAGUUAUAAAAAAAAUUUAAAGCAAUGCUAGAACAGCAAUGUGGCAUUUGUUUGAUCAAAAAAGGUAAAACUAUGGUAUUAUUCAUAUGAUCUUUUAGAAAGCUAUGAUUUCCUUUUCAAGAAACAUUUAUUAGCAUUAGUAUUUGCGCUGCACAAUAGUUCUGUGCAGUCUUAUGAAACAUUUUAUUAAUUAAUUUAUUUAUUUUACAAAAUAUCUUGACUUUUGAUCUAUUUAAUAUGCUGUAUGUAUCAUACUAUGAUGAACAAUGAUGUUGGUUUUUAUUAAAAAAUAAAACUAGAAACUUUUUUUCUAGUAUUAUCUCUUCGGUCAGCAAAUUAUAAAUAAAUGAAUUCAAGAAUGCUUUUUGUACAGUUGUCUGUAUGUUUACUGCAAAACUCACCUCUAAAUGUCCAGCUGACAAACCGACUAAAAAAAACAAUAAAACUUCCUAAAAUGUG